AUUAUUAUUAUUGGUAUUAAUAUAGCACCAGAAUAUUUCACAGCUCUGUAUACAUUUGUUAAGGACCUUCAGUAACAAAUGAGACAAACUAUUUUAAAGAACCAUAGGUUGAUGAGGACCCUGCUCAUACAAACUUAUAUUUUAAUGGAGUCCUCAUGCAUUUGGAAAAGUGUCCCUAGAAAAUAUGUCAAACAGUCUGGAUACAACAGCAAUCUCCAAAAAAAACAGACACUCAACCACCUUAGAAACAAGCUGUCAUUUAUUCCAUAUGUUCUAAAAAAAAAAUAGUCAGGUUGUUACUUUAUUAUUGACAGACAUGGGAUGUUGGGGAAAUUUUAGUCUGCGGAAAAGAGAUAGAUUACUUUUUAAAAAUGCAUGGAUGCCCUCCACACGUUGCCUUGCAUUAUUUAUGAAAAAAUUGUGAUUUAUUUUUCUGUUUAUAUUCUCUUGAAAAUGUGGAUGCCUUCCUUACUGUUUUCUAAGCUCAGCAACAAAAAGCCUGCAUGUGUAAUGAUAUUUUCUUAUAAAAUAGAAUUUAUCUGCUAGAAAAAAAAAAAAACAGUUCCAUGUCCAAUGUAAUACCCGUGUUAGUGAAGCUGCCCCAAGUAUGUCCUGACGUACAUGAGUCAUGUGUUCUGCUCACUGCAUUUACAAAUAACCCCAUUCAGCUGAUUCAGAAUCAUUGUUUAAGGUCACCCCUUUACCUCCUCUAUUACUACCCUUCUCUACGCUUUUUUUUUUUUUUUGUCCCUCCAUCCCAUCUCCCUCUCCCACUGUUAUUUCACAUGUUUUUGGCUGUAACGGUUUUUACAAGGGAUUACUGCCUCCUGAUAGGUCAUCACUACAUGACAUUUUUGCUGUGACAUGUAGCCAGACUAUAGAUUCUUUAAAUGUGUUCUGUGUUUUUAUGGAAUCAUUUGACUCUCAUGACUGUUUGUCUGUUUCUUACUGUCAAACACCAUUGUCAAGUUGUUGAAGUUCCACAUCUGCCCCCAAUAAAAAAUAUCUGAAUACAAAACAAUUUCGGAGGCCUUUAAUGUCUUCCUAAUACCAUUAAUAUCUCUCCAUUGAGUGGGAUUUUGAUUCUGACAUACAGUUUUUCAG